UCAUUCAAUUGUGGCAUUUCCGUUUCGGAGUUAAAAACUAAAAUUUGGGAAGGAGAGAUGUAGAGAGAAAUAAGAGGCGAAACUAUUUGGUUUCUUCGUUGAGUUACGAUAUUUCCUUCAUGAUCAGUUUUUUUCGCUUUCCUGAUCACUAUGAGAAAAAUGUGAAGGGUUUGGUCCUGGCCAUGGCGCUGAUUACAAAACCAAAGGUAUGAAUCUCUUUGUCCAUUCAGAAUUUUUUUCCUCUUUAUUGAUUUGUGUUUCGCCUGAUUAUUUGAUCCUGAUUCAAGUAGUUUCAUAUAAUUUUGAUUUUUGUAAACGUAAAAAGAUUUGAUCUCUAUGGGGUUUUAGAUGGGUUGUUCAAGUGGAUUAAAAGGUUAAUUUUUGUUUUGAGGCUUUUGAAGGAUAAUCAUCACAAGAGAGGUACCAUCAAGUUCACUCUUGGUGGUUCUGAAUCUCGCGCCGAAGAUUGGGCUUAACCAACCUAAUAUCUACGGCCACGGUUCAAUCAGGUAAAGCACAAAGCGAAAUGCACAACUCAAACUCUCAUGGUCUCAUUAGGCCGGAUACACUUUCUUAGUAUUAAACGGGGAAAAGAUCAAAAGACUCACUGUUUCUAAAAUAUCAUGAUUUUAUUGAAAAAAAUUUCUACCAACCUUUUCAAAUUACUUCUUCAUGGAAUUGAAAUUUAGGAUUUUGAUUUGGAUUAAGUGGUUGCUCGAUUAUGAUUAUUACAGUCGCUUUAAUUUUGCAAUCAUAGGAAUUCAGUUCUAUUUCGAAUUCUCGGGUACGAUAAAUGAUUUCAUUGAAGUUGAUGAAAGGAUAAAUGAUAAGGGUAGGUUUGAUUUAUGUGCAUUAACCAAUCUACUAACAACUGCGUUCCAUUAUGAGGAUUUACGUUUUAAAGGGAAAAUAAAGAAGUCGGCUACGCUCGCUCAUUGCAAGUUUUUAUCUCAGAUGAUGAUCACUUUUGCCCAGUGAACUUUGAACCAAAAAAGAGACGACGUUGAGGUGAAGAAAAAGAUAUAUAGACACUUGACGACACUAUCAUAAAUAAAACAAAAUGAAGGAAAACGGUAAGUACAAUGUUCUUCUUCACUAACCCUUCAUAUGCCUCUGCUUAAUUAAGGUUUUUGUGGCCAGAUUUUAUUCAAUUAAUCACAAGGUUAAAAUAUUGUGACCCAAAAAAGCGAGAAGAGAUUUCUGGAGUCUUCCAAAAUCCAGCCAUGGAAAGGAAUCGAGAUCGAACAGUUGGCGAAACAAGUAACUUUUACAAAAGAACUUACAUCUAGUUAACCAAACAGAAUUAAUCCCUCCCGUGUCAUCCAACUCUCUUGGAAGCCAAGUUCAGGGCGCCACUGCCUCUCUAACGUGAGGAUUUUAUUUCUAUAGGAAGCUCCCUGGAAAGACCUUCUUCAGAUAAUGUUGCUGAAUAUUUGUUUGCAUAGUAUUACAAAAGUGGAUCUUCUUCGCGUAUUGUUUAGUAACGUUAACCUGAAGCAGAAGGUUUAUUAAGUGGGAAAGCGUCAGUUUCUGCUCAGCAGCUUCAUGGCUGCCAAUGGAGUGUUCUAUAUAGGCAGUCACAAGUUUUGGAUGUCUUUUUCUAAAGGUCUUAUGGUGUGCAAAAUCAUAACCCUUAUCUUUUAUCAUGCACUCCGGGUUGUUCGAGUAGUAGGUCAGCUAUGUCAGUACUGUAAGAUCGGUAACGAUAUCUUUAGGGGCACAACGCAUGGCUCUGUCCUUUGCUCGUCCAGUCAUAAUUCAGUUGUUGGAAUCAAGCCUACUAUUGGACUCACAUGCCGAGCUGGAUUAAUGCAAAUGGAGGGUAAUGUGGCUGAAUUAAUACGGAAUGUGAAAGGCGUUUACAUGUUUUCAGGUAGAGAAAAAAAUGAUAGAUUCUGCGGUAAUUGGCGCAGUCUUAGAUGUGCUUGAAUUUUUUCGAUUUUACCUUUUUGUUUGUUUCAUGAGCUUUACCUUGGAUCAUGUGGGUGUAUCCACUAAUUUGGGUGGUACGUGCAAAAUCACAAACUCUUUUAAGUUUGUUACCUUCUUCUUCA